AGGGCCUGGCAGUGGUGGCGCAC
rnacentral:piRNA from 1 species